CAGGAUUUUGAAUAGAACAGAAAGCUGCAGCCCAAAUAUAUUUCAUGUUUUUAUUGUCUUCAGACUGGUGGAGGGUCAUCAUGGUGUCUGUGGGUUUAGCAGCACUCAUAAUAACUGUUGUGGCGGUCAACAUAUGGAUGAGAACUAAAGGAAACAGAACCCAGAUGGAUGGCAAUGCUGAGCAUCAUGAUGAAGAUGAAGGUACAGUGACCUAUGAAAACGUUGGAGAACCUUCUGUUUCUAUCAGACUCCACUGAUCAACAACUUCAACAUCAACUCACCAGAAAAAA